CAAUAGCGUAUAUUUAAGUUGUUGCAGUUAAAAAGCUCGUAGUUGGAUUUCGGUUAAGAGCGACCGGUCCGCCGUUUGGUGUGCACUGGUUGGUUUUAACUUCCUGUAGAGGACGUGCUCUGGGUUUAACGACCUGGACUCGGAGUCUACGUGGUUACUUUGAAAAAAUUAGAGUGUUCAAAGCGGGCUUACGCUUGAAUAUUUCAGCAUGGAAUAACACUAUAGGACUCCUGUCCUAUUUCGUUGGUCUCGGGACGGGAGUAAUGAUUAAGAGGAACAGUUGGGGGCAUUCGUAUUUCAUUGUCAGAGGUGAAAUUCUUGGAUUUAUGAAAGACGAACUUCUGCGANANCAUUUGNCAAGGAUGUUNUCAUUNA
rnacentral:rRNA from 1 species